AGAUAAUAGAUACCCCGGUAGUCCACGCCCUAAACGAUGCGAACUGGAUGUUGGGUGCAACUAGGCACUCAGUAUCGAAAGCUAGCGCGUUAAGUUCGCCGCCUGGGGAGUACGGUCGCAAGACUGAAACUCAAAGGAAUUGACGGGGGCCCGCACAAGCGGUGGAGUAUGUGGUUUAAUUCGAUGCAACGCGCAGAACCUUACCUGGCCUUGACAUCCACGGAACUUUCCAGAGAUGGAUUGGUGCCUUCGGGAACCGUGAGACAGGUGCUGCAUGGCUGUCGUCAGCUCGUGUCGUGAGAUGUUGGGUUAAGUCCCGCAACGAGCGCAACCCUUGUCCUUAGUUGCCAGCACGUAAUGGUGGGAACUCUAAGGAGACCGCCGGCGACAAGCCGGAGGAAGGUGGGAUGACGUCAAGUCAUCAUGGCCCUUAGGCCAGGGCUACACACGUACUACAAUGGUGGGGACAGAGGGCUGCAAACCCGCGAGGGCGAGCCAAUCCCAGAAACCCCAUCUCAGUCCGG
rnacentral:rRNA from 1 species